UACGGGGGGGGCAAGCGUUGUUCGGAAUUACUGGGCGUAAAGGGCCAGUAGGCGGCCAACUAAGUCCGACGUGAAAUCCCAAGGCUUAACCUUGGAACUGCGUCGGAUACUGGAUGGCUUGAAUUCGGGAGAGGGAUGCAGAAUUCCAGGUGUAGCGGUGAAAUGCGCAGAUAUCAGGAGGAACACCGGUGGCGAAGGCGGAUCUCUGGGCCGAUACUGACGCUGAGGAGCGAAAGCGUGGGGAGCGAACAGG
rnacentral:rRNA from 1 species